CUCUCUCUCUCUCUCUCAAAAAUAAAUACACAUUUUAAAAGCUUUUUGUUUUUUAAACAAAGAUGUUGUUUUAUUUCUACAUGGAAACCUCUUUUUACAUUUCUUCAGUUCGUUUUCAUCCAGUGUUCUCUGUUACCACCAUUUUUUUUUUUUUAAAGACUUCUUUACUGUUAUUUUUUUAGAGCAGUUUUGGGUUCACAGCAUAAUGGGGAGGAAAGCAUAGAGAGUUCCUAUCUACUCCCUCCCCACCCACAGGCACCUCUACCUCCCCCACCACAGUGGCACUUUUGUUAUAAUUGAUGGACCUCCAUUGACACAUCAUUAUCACCCAAAGUCCAGAGUUUACAUGGAGAUUCCCUCUUGGUGUUGUACAUUCUAUGGGUUUGGACAAAUGUACCAUGGCAUCUAUCCACCAUUAUACUGUCGUGCAAAUUUUUUUCACUACCCUAAAACUCCUCUGUGCUCUGCCUAUUCAUCGCUCCCUCCUCCCUAACCCCUGGAAACCACUGAUCUUCUCUCUCUCUCUCUCUCUCUCUCCCUCUUUUUAAGAGAGAGAAGGGGUGGGGAGAGGCAGAGAACGAGGGAGAGAGAAUCCUAAGCAGGCUCCACGAUGUCAGUGCAGAGCCCAACUCAGGGUUCGAUCUGAUGACCGUGAGAUCAUGACCUGAGCCGAAACCCAGAGGCAGACGCUUAACUGACUGAGCCACUCGUGUGCUCCAACCACCGGUCUUUUUAUUGUCUCUGGAGUUUUGCCUUUUCCAGAAUGUCACGACUAUAAUUUUCUUUAAAUUAUGAAAUAAUAAGAUAAGCUGCUUUCAGUGUAUUCAAGUGACAGAAUUCCUCCUCCAGUUCACACAGGAAUACGGCUUUCGUGCAUCUUUAGAGCAGAACUGAAUAAAUAAUGAUGUGCGUGUCGUGGCCAAAAACGGCAGAGUAAUCACAGAGCAUGUAUGUGUGCUCUGUUCCAUGCUGCCUCAUACCGAAGUACUUUUAAAAACACUGUUUCUUAGAGCCAGUAUUGAGAACAUUUUAUCAUAUACACAGAGUGUGGUCAAGUGGCUGUUUCAAAGAGACCCCUGACCAUGCCCAGUCAGUCCUAUCAGAAAGGAAGAAGCCCAACGCUCUUAAAGCGCAUAAAUAAAUCAAGCCCCAGCUUCAUAGUCCAAGGUCCUCUAAGACUCCUGAGGAAUAUGCACAUUUAGACAGAUCGCAAGAACACGUGGUUGUCCCAAACUAGCUUCUGAGAGGCAGACUGUGCAGAGGAGGCCUCCCGGAGCCCAGGCCCUGCAGAGGCUUGGCUUGGGGGCACAUACCCUGGGAGAGGCUUGCAUGACUCCAGCCACUCAUGCUCUCCAGCUGCCAUGAGAGGUCAGGCUCGUCUCGGGAAGGGGAGCCAAGAAUAGUUAGAUGCCGUUCCACUGGGAGCCCAGGUCCCCAGAGAGGGCUAUUCUGGGAGGGAAUGCAUAGUUUACAGCAUCCAGGUCAUGGGGGCUGGAGCGCUAGUUGAUCAUACCCCCAGUGCCAGGGCAGGGGCUGCGUCCUGUGUGUUCAACUACCCUUAGCAUCUCCUCCAGCAUCUAGUCCACAAUAGGCUUGCAGUGGAUGCCUUCUGAGUAAAUAAACAGCAUUUUAGCUAAUCCCCGAAUACCAGAUAUCCUCUAAAUGCUCAAAAUCUUUCUUUGUCUGGAGUUCUUAAUAUAGUCAGUCACAGAGACUGCUUCUGUGUUCUAGCUGUCAGCAAAAUUGGUCCUAUUAUUACUGUGGCUGUGUAUCAUUUCACCUGGCACAGAGCUGGCACACUGUGGACCUUUAAUUCAGCUCAGAUAACAACUGCAGGAAGCAGUGUGCCUGCUAAUGUGUACGGAAGGACGUGCUCAGGGCGGUGGCUUCUCCAUGUGUGCGCUUUUUUUUUCCAAGUAGGAUUUUUAAAUUCAAAACAUAUGUCUUGAAUUAGAAACUUAAUAAAUAACAUUACUUCUCUUUCUUUCUCGGUCAUCUGUAAGAAUAAUGCCCUGAGAUUAUUUUCUUCUGGAAUAGUUACCGUAUUGCUAUUUGGGUUAAACCCAUAUAAGUUAUUUUGUCCUUUUUGUAGGUGAUUCAAUAAAUAGAUCAUGGGACAUUAACCAUGGAGAGCUCUUUGGAUUGCACAUGGGAGUGCAAUUACAUUCACAAUUAUGAGAACAUAAGUAGGCGUGUGUAAAUUGUAGUAGCUUUUACCAUAAUUUUUGAGCAAUUACAGCCCUAUUGCAUUUUGCUGAGAAUGUUUCAUUUUGCUUCUUGAUUCAGAUACACUAAAUGGGCUUCCUUAGACCAGAGAUUGGCAAACCGUUUCUGAAAGGCCUGGUGGUAAAUAUUUUAUGGUUUGCAGGCCAUGUGGUCUCUGUUGCUUGAGAGCAGACGUAGAUAAUCCAUAAUGAAUAGCUGUGGCUGUGUUCCAAUAAAACUUUAUUUAUGGUCACUGAUAUUGGGAUUUCAUAUAAUUUGCAUGUGUCAUGAAAUAUCAUUCUUCCUUUGACUUUUUUUUUUAACCAUUUAAAAGCUGUCAAGUCAUUUUUAGCUCAUGGACUAUACACAAACAAAUGGCAGGGCACAUUGGGCCUAUUGGCCAUAGUUGGUUGACGCCCGCCUUAGACUCUCUCAACAUCACUAUCCAAUGCCUCUCAUUCACUCGCUUUUCCUCAGUGGCUGACUGAUUCCAUUCAGAUCUGUCCAUGGUGAGUUCUACCACCUGGGGCCAAGCACCUACUUGCACUGCCCUUGGCUACUACUGUAGAGCUAGCCUCACCAGUCACACACCUGGAACUCUUGUCUCCUCCUCCCAUUUUUAGAAUAGGGUUAAAAAACCUGCACUUCAGAGAAUAAAUCUGGCAUGAUAGAAGCCAUGGAAGGGACCAGAUCAUAUAACUCAGAAGCAUAGAGAGGUUAACUUCCAAUGGGACAAACUUGGACCAGUGGGACCCAGUAGGUGGGAAAGAGCCAAUCCCUCUCUUUCUUCCACCUGUGAUAACACAGUUUCUUAUACAAAUUGACCUGUGACAUCUCACAGGGCUGAGGGUUUGCACCUGCCAAGGUCAGUGCUAUGCCCAGCGACAUGAUACAUCUCCUAGCAGCUGAUUCCUGUGAUUUCCUCUCUCACUUUCCUCUUUCUGUACUCUUGUUGCCCUAGGUUUGCACCUGUCAAAUAAAGCGUCAGCACUUAAUCCUUGCCUCAGGCUCUAAUCUCUAGGGAACACAGCUAAGACAUUCUUAAGAAUAUAUAUAAACAUUUACUAAAAGUUUCCCAGUCAAAAAGAAAAAUGUCUACCAGUGUGUUCAAAAUACAUGGUAAGGAUUGCAAAUUAAGCAAGGGCCAGGUAGCUAACAUAAAUGCACUAGACAGUCAGGGGUGGUGGUAAACUGGAGACCCACGUUUCAUAUAAAGAGGGGAAAUAAAAUUUGGCUUUGGUCAUGACAAUGCCACACAGGAAAGAGGGCUCAGUAGUCUCAGAUCUUUCUAUUUUUCAAGACUAACUGUCAGGCAUUUUUGUGUGAAUUUUCCUUAUUUUUAUUUUAUUGUUUUAAGUUAAUUUAUUUAUUUUGAGAGAGGGGGAGGAGAGAAUGUGAGAGAGGGAGGGGCAGAGAGAGAGAAAGAGAGAGAGAAUCCCAAGCAGGCUCCUUGCUGUCAGCACAGAGCCUGAUGCAGGGCUGGAACUCAUGAACCAUGAGAUCCUGACCUGAGCUGAAACCAAGAGUUGAGUACUAAACUGACUGAGCCACCCAGGUGCCCCAUUUUUUCUUAUUUUUAAAUGUUGGAAACUGAUUUUAAAACUAUUAGUUCCAGGUAGGGUUAAGCAUAUCUAUCUGUGGGUUGGAACUGGUUUGGGUAACCUCUAGUGGAUAAUCUAGGGAGGGAGAUUGGAAGGAUUAUAAAAUGUAGAAGCAGCCAUCAAGGAGAAUUGGGAGGGUGUCACUGAGUAAAAGGUGUGUCCCAGUAGGUGACUUUUUGCUUGUCAGCUCCCCAGACAAAUGAACAAAGCGCCCAAGUAUUCACAUUUUGGGGCUCUGUCCUGUUUCUUGAGCCGUAAGGACUUGACCUCUGAUUUUUGGAAAGAGCAUGUACUAGCAGUCCUGGGAUGGUAUUUAUGAUAUGGAUUAAGACAGGAAAUGACUGUUGACAUCAUCUCUUUUCAGCCUCAUGCCCAGUGUUUGCCUCUUCUUGGUGACAUCCCCAGAAAGGAGGAGCCUGACUUCCUUGAAGACCGCUGCUCAAAACCUCUCAAAGCAUUUUAUUUCAUGUUUACAUUUUUUGGGAUAUCAAUACUAUAUUCAGAAUACACUUAUUUCCUCUACCUUUAACUCUUUCACUUUAUAAUUCAUCCCCAGGCAAUUCAUUUCAAAUUUGCCCUAUUCUAUGUAGGAGCUCUUUAUAUUGAAAACAGUUAUUCUGUCUCAUAAAAUCUCUCUUCUUUAGGUUGAAACCAUUCAGCUUUUUCAGCCAUUCUUCCCGAGGCACUAUUUUAAGUCUUUUCACUAUUUUGGUAAUCUUCACUGAACAUUCUGCUGAUUGCCUGAAUCUUUUAGGACCUAGAACCAUAAAUGGAAUAAAUAUUAUAGAAGGGACCUGAUUAAUUUACAGUAAAAUUAAAUGAUAAAUUUCCACAUACAGGAUACUAAAUCUUUAUUAAUUUAGUCUAACCCUACAUUUGUUUUUCAGGCCUUCAUGCUGCUGUUACCUGUUGUACCCAAUAGCACAGGAAUUAAUUGCUUGUAUUGUUUUAAAUUUGUACAUUAUUUAAAUUUUGCUUCAGACUAGCUCUGUUUUAUAUUUUGAGUCAUAUUUUUCCUCUGUUCUGCUUUCAUCAUCUGUUUUUAUUUUAUUUUAUUUUGUUUUGUUUUGUUUUGUUUUGUUUUGUUUUAUUUUGUUAUGUUAUUUUAUUUUAUUGUACUUAUUUUGCAAGCUCCCUCAAAGACUUUUGGAAAUGAAAUGGAGUAUAAACAAGUAACAUAUGAAACACUGUAGCCAAUCAUUCUUAUUUCUCAAAGUUACAGAGAGCAAUGUUAUUUUCUUCAAGCCAGCCUGGAUUAAAGGUUCACAUUUCAGUAUUCCUGUGGCACCCUAUCAAUUCAUAUUUAUUUACAGAAAUGAGUCCCAUGGAGAUGUUUGCUAGUGAACAUGUUGUUUUUCUAACUUUCUGUGUGUGUAUAUACACUCAUAUGUGUGUUUAUAAAUAUAUAGAGGUCUAUACAUAUUAAAUGAACAUGCAUUCCUUGCAACAUUAUCUAAUCCAGAAUUCUCAAGGUUUUCAGCUGUCAGUUUCAUUGCUUUAGAAUAGAGUUUAUUGCCAUCUGCUCCUGUCCCAUUCUUCAACUCUGUAAUUAUGUUUUCAUGAGUUAAUUUUAUCCGAAAGCUCAAGGGCUCCAUUUUGCCUUAUAUCAAAUCAUCUGGUAAAUAACCAGGUCAAGCCCAGCACCAAGAACACUGGUAAAUUCUCUUCUGGAAUUUAGAUGGUGUCGGGCAGAGUCUGACCAGAGAAGAAGAACCACUAGGAGUGAUAUAGAAUAAACUGUCUUUUUACAGAAAUUUAACCAUUCACAGUUAUGGGAGGAGGUUAAGAGGUUACUGGAAGCUGUUGUUUCUAACACUGCGGCCGGAGUCUGAAGCCAGUGAGGCGGGCAGUCAAGAAGGAAAGACAGACGUGAAGCAGGAGAGGGGGAAAAAAGACAAACAAAUGCAAGAGGAUGAGUUGGAAUCUCCAACGACAAACUGAAGGGCCCAGCAGCCUGUGUCUCGAGCCUCCAGCUUCAAUGAUGUGAACAACCCACCGGAGAAACCUGCGCUUCCUCGCAGUGCUAAGCACGCAUUGGCUUGGGAGCUGGGAAGCUAAAAGGGGCUGUGUUUGGGGACCUGAAGGGCCCGUGUGCCUGGCUUCUGCCCAAACCCACUUGUAUAUGUGCUGACCUUCAGAGCUUUAAAAGAAUAUGGUUUAUGCUUAAUUUCCAAAUGCCACUAUAUGUAUUUCUUGUGGCCCAUGCUAACAUGGAAUUAUGCAAUGGAAACAAUCCUGAUAAACACAGUUCCUGCUCAGUUCAAUUGACACAGCAUCAAUGUGCCACAUAGAUUAUCCACCCAAGCCCAUUUCUCCCUAGAGACAGUCUGAAUUAAGAGUCUUAGAGUUUUGUCUUAUUUAUUUAUUUUUUCCCCAUCCUAAAUCCUUGUCAGGUUCUUCUGGCCCAAUUCCCAGCUGUGUCCUGGGGAGGACAGGCAUGGUGGCUUCUUCCUGAGCACCGCAGUCCCAAGUUCAGAAAGAGAUCAUGUUGCGGAGGAUGGGAGAAAGCCCUGGCGGGAUCACAGCCUUUCCCAGAUUGGGUUGUUUCUGCCCCCCCUUGCGGUUGGGGCUGCCGCCUGGUUCUCAUGGCAGUUCCCAAGUAAACAGCCCUUACUUCCUGGCUUUCUCUACUCAGGGUGGCAGGGGGAUGUGUCCACCUCUGUAGCAGCCUUCCUGUGUUGACAACACUGUUUGUUCUUCCCGUCUCCCCAGGGAGAAGCUGCCUUAUCUUUUCUGUGCAACAUAUUUGGGAAAAACACAUUUUUCUCUCUUAAAGGAAUUGAUUAUUGUUUCUUAAGACUAAAAAGAAAAGCCUUUCUGGAUCCAAACACUGACUUAAAAAGAUAACCUAAAUUCCACUUACAGAGCAAGAGAAAAAUUUGUACUAGUGGUGACUGGUGGUACAUUUUGGAUCAUUCUGUGCACUUAAAUUAUACUGUGUGUGUGUGUGUGUGUGUGUGUGUGUGUGUGUGAGAGAGAGAGAGAGAGAGAGAGAGAGAGAGAGAGAGAGAGAGAAUCUGAAAUAUUUUUCAAACACAAGACCUACAGUUUUUGGUUUAAAUAAACUGGGAAUUUGUAGGUGUUCGUUGAGGUGUUUGUAACGAUAACCUUUGUGAGACAGAAGUUUAAAAAAUAUAUUUAAUAUAAACAUAUGUUAAAAUAUGUACAUUUGCAAUUACAAGAAAAUUCAUCACUACCUUUGUGUUUCAACUGUUUUUUUUUUUUUUCAGGUGGAUUCCCAUCUUUCAUUUAUUACAGAGAGCUACAGGAAUUUCCUCUCCACAAUAGGAUUCUAUGUACAGGACUAUUGCAUGGGAGUCACGUGGAGCUGUGAUGAUGGCACUAAGAAAAAUCCGGAAUUAAAAAAACUCACCUGGAUCUAAUGAACUACACUGCCACCUGCUAGGCUGUGACAUUGGGAAAAAUACUCAACCUCUCUGGUGUCGAUUUCAUCAUGAUAAAAUGGGAAUAAUGAUCAAUCUAAUGUCAUGAAGUUGUUGGGAGAAUUCAGUGAUUCGAAUUAUAUAGGGCAAUUAGCUACUGUAACACCUGCCCCAUUGGAACUGCUUAGUACGGGACAAGAAUUACCGUUACUACUUUCAAGAGACCAAAUGAAUAUUUUCUUCCUUAAUAAAAUGGUAACCUCUAAGCUAUCCAGAGGUUUUAGUCAGGGAAGAGAUAUGUGUUAUGUCAUUUGUAAUUUUUUAUCACAGUAUCAUUACCUGUCUAUUCAGCAUAUAAUAUGUGUAUGUAUACGUAUACUUAUGUGCACCUGUAUAUGUAUGUGUGUGUAUUGUUAUUGCUGCGAUGCUUGUACCCGCCAACCCCAAAUUCAAUUCUUUGGGGAAAUCCUAACCCCAAAGAUGAUGAUAUUUGUAGGCAAAGCCUGUUGGGUGAUUAGGUCAUGAGUGGGGAACCCUCACAAAUGGGAUUAGUGCUAAAGAGACCCCACAGAGUUCCCUAGCCUCUUGAAUCUUCCAGGAUACUACAAGAAGUCUACAACACAGAAGCCGGCUUUUUGACCUCCGACUUCCAGCCUCCAAAACUGUGAGCAAUACAGUUGUUGUUUAUAAGCUGCCCGGUCUGUGGUAUUGUUAUAUACAUCGCAUAUUUCUAUAGCAGCCUGAAUGGACUCACAUAUAUGCAUAUGCGGAUAGGUACUUAGGUAGCUAGCUAGCUAGCUAGUCAGACAGGUAGAUAGAUAUCCAUGUAACUAACACUCCGAUCAAGAUAUGGAAUAUUGCCAUCACCCCAAAACGUCCCUGUGUAUUUCUUUCCAGUCUGUCAUCCUCUCCUCUGGAGUCAAACCCUAUUCUGACUUUUAUCCCUGUGAACCAGUUUGUCUGUUCUUGAACUUCCAUAGAGAUGGACUCAUACAGAAAACACUUUUUGCUUUUGGCUUUUUUAGUUCUAUGUAGUGUUUUUGAGAUUCGUCCAUGUUGUUGCAGGCAUUAGUCAUCUGUUUUUUUUCAUUCCUGGACUAUUCCAUUGUGUGAAUAUAACACGUUGUCUCUUGUUCAUGGGCAUUUGCGUUAUUUCCAGUGUUGUUUGUAAUUUGAAGUGCUUCAGUUGAAAUGGCAUGGUAUAUAUACUUUUGCAUUAGAUGACUUUAUUCUACAUCUUAGGAUAUGUCACAUUUUAUAGGCCUUUCCAAGCUUAAAUGAAUAGGGUAUAAGAAUCCAUUAAACCUAGAUUGUAUGCUUCAGAAUGGAACUUUAGAUUCUAAAGGAAAGAUAGAUGAUAGAUAGAUAGAUAGAUAGAUAGAUAGACAGAGGUGUAGAUAGAUUCCAAAAUAGCCCAUUUACAGUUGUAGAUUCCUAGGUUUUUUGUUUGCCUGACUCCUGCCAGUGAAAUAUUGUUACAUUUAUCCUAAGGGGAUCUUGCUGUCAGACCACUUAGGACAGUGGGCUGAUGCUUUUUGAGUUUACUCAUUAGUUUAUAAACUGUUACACCUGUUUGAUAAUAAAUGUUUAUAUGUGUGAAAGAA